rnacentral:lncRNA from 1 species
GCCCCCCCCGCCCCCCCCCUCCCCCGCAGUCGCGGCGCGGAGUAAGCGGGCGCAGCUCGCAGCUAGGGCUCUCGAUGCGCCCGUGUCCAUCGGUCGAGCCGCGGGGGCGGCGCUACGCGUAGCCUGGAGCUCGCGACCUCGCCCCUUCGCUGCAGGUCCGACCCGCCCGCUACCGCUGCCUCUUCCCCCGGGGCGGCGUAGGGGGCGAGGCCGCCAAGGCAGGCGUCGCCACCAACAUGAAGGACAACAUCCCGCUGCAGCCCAUGCGCCAGAAGAAGCAGAUGAACAGCAGGCCCCGCGCUGGGAUUGUGACCAGAUCCACGUUGAUGACGUCUCAUCAGAUGACAAUGGGCAAGAUUUAAGAACCUACAACUUCUCCACCGAUGGCUUCCACAGUGCAGCCCUGGGGGCUGGCCUGUGCCUGAGCACCGGGGUGCACGGCGGCGUGGACUGGAUGAGGAAGCUGGCCUUCCGCUACCGGGUGAAGGAGAUGUAUAACACCUACCGGGACAACGUGGGCAGAUUGAUAGGAGCUCCCAAAAGAGAGACUUGGCUACAGCUCUGAGCAGAGCUGGAGGCGCUGACAGACCUCUGGCUCAUGCACUUUCUGAAGGCACUAAACCUCAUCAACUCCCGGCAAGUAGGAGCCCUGUUUCAUUCUGCACCACUGAGCUUUCCAGGAGACUGGUGGCUCCACCUCCCACACAUAGGAGAGCUG